rnacentral:rRNA from 1 species
GACGAACGCUGGCGGCGUGCUUAACACAUGCAAGUCGAACGGACAGGCCCUGCUUUUGUGGGGUGCUCGAGUGCCGAACGGGUGAGUGAAACGUGAGUAACCUGCACUUGACAUAGGGAUAACUUCAGGAAACAGGGGCUCAUACCGGAUAGGAGCUCCUGCAGCAUGGUGUGGGUUGGAAAGUGUCGGCGGUUGGGGAUGGACUCGCGGCUUAUCAGCUUGUUGGUGGGGUAGUGGCUUACCAAGGGUGUGACGGGUAGCCGGCCUUGGAGGGUGAACGGGGACAUUGGGACUGAGAUACGGCGCAGACGCCUACGGGAGGCAGCAGGGGGGAGUAUUGCGGAACGGGCGGAAGCGAGAGGCAGCAGUGCUGCGUGCGGGAUGAUGUGUUUCGGGUUGUAAACCGCUGUGGCCGGUGACGAAGCGGGAGUGACGGUAACGGGUAAAGAAGCACCGGCUAACUACGUG